AAACAGCCUCCUAUGUUUUGAUUCUUUGACAGUUUUAGACCGCCAAGACAAAAAAAAAUGACACGUGGCACCUCACUUAGGGUGCCACGUUGACCGAGUCAACAAUGGACUGAAGGUAUAAAACUGCCAAAAAAUCAAAACAUGGGGGCUGUUU
rnacentral:pre_miRNA from 1 species